rnacentral:rRNA from 1 species
UUAAGCGACUAAGCGUACACGGUGGAUGCCCUGGCAGUCAGAGGCGAUGAAGGACGUGCUAAUCUGCGAUAAGCGUCGGUGAGGUGAUAUGAACCGUUAUAACCGGCGAUUUCCGAAUGGGGAAACCCAGUGUGUUUCGACACACUAUCAUUAACUGAAUCCAUAGGUUAAUGAGGCGAACCGGGGGAACUGAAACAUCUAAGUACCCCGAGGAAAAGAAAUCAACCGAGAUUCCCCCAGUAGCGGCGAGCGAACGGGGAGGAGCCCAGAGCCUGAAUCAGUGUGUGUGUUAGUGGAAGCGUCUGGAAAGGCGUGCGAUACAGGGUGACAGCCCCGUACACAAAAAUGCACAUAUUGUGAGCUCGAUGAGUAGGGCGGGACACGUGGUAUCCUGUCUGAAUAUGGGGGGACCAUCCUCCAAGGCUAAAUACUCCUGACUGACCGAUAGUGAACCAGUACCGUGAGGGAAAGGCGAAAAGAACCCCGGCGAGGGGAGUGAAAAAGAACCUGAAACCGUGUACGUACAAGCAGUGGGAGCCUCUUAAUGGGGUGACUGCGUACCUUUUGUAUAAUGGGUCAGCGACUUAUAUUCUGUAGCAAGGUUAACCGAAUAGGGGAGCCGAAGGGAAACCGAGUCUUAACUGGGCGUUAAGUUGCAGGGUAUAGACCCGAAACCCGGUGAUCUAGCCAUGGGCAGGUUGAAGGUUGGGUAACACUAACUGGAGGACCGAACCGACUAAUGUUGAAAAAUUAGCGGAUGACUUGUGGCUGGGGGUGAAAGGCCAAUCAAACCGGGAGAUAGCUGGUUCUCCCCGAAAGCUAUUUAGGUAGCGCCUCGUGAAUUCAUCUCCGGGGGUAGAGCACUGUUUCGGCAAGGGGGUCAUCCCGACUUACCAACCCGAUGCAAACUGCGAAUACCGGAGAAUGUUAUCACGGGAGACACACGGCGGGUGCUAACGUCCGUCGUGAAGAGGGAAACAACCCAGACCGCCAGCUAAGGUCCCAAAGUCAUGGUUAAGUGGGAAACGAUGUGGGAAGGCCCAGACAGCCAGGAUGUUGGCUUAGAAGCAGCCAUCAUUUAAAGAAAGCGUAAUAGCUCACUGGUCGAGUCGGCCUGCGCGGAAGAUGUAACGGGGCUAAACCAUGCACCGAAGCUGCGGCAGCGACACUAUGUGUUGUUGGGUAGGGGAGCGUUCUGUAAGCCUGUGAAGGUGGCCUGUGAGGGUUGCUGGAGGUAUCAGAAGUGCGAAUGCUGACAUAAGUAACGAUAAAGCGGGUGAAAAGCCCGCUCGCCGGAAGACCAAGGGUUCCUGUCCAACGUUAAUCGGGGCAGGGUGAGUCGACCCCUAAGGCGAGGCCGAAAGGCGUAGUCGAUGGGAAACAGGUUAAUAUUCCUGUACUUGGUGUUACUGCGAAGGGGGGACGGAGAAGGCUAUGUUGGCCGGGCGACGGUUGUCCCGGUUUAAGCGUGUAGGCUGGUUUUCCAGGCAAAUCCGGAAAACCAAGGCUGAGGCGUGAUGACGAGGCACUACGGUGCUGAAGCGACAAAUGCCCUGCUUCCAGGAAAAGCCUCUAAGCAUCAGGUAACAUCAAAUCGUACCCCAAACCGACACAGGUGGUCAGGUAGAGAAUACCAAGGCGCUUGAGAGAACUCGGGUGAAGGAACUAGGCAAAAUGGUGCCGUAACUUCGGGAGAAGGCACGCUGAUAUGUAGGUGAAGCGACUUGCUCGUGGAGCUGAAAUCAGUCGAAGAUACCAGCUGGCUGCAACUGUUUAUUAAAAACACAGCACUGUGCAAACACGAAAGUGGACGUAUACGGUGUGACGCCUGCCCGGUGCCGGAAGGUUAAUUGAUGGGGUUAGCGGUAACGCGAAGCUCUUGAUCGAAGCCCCGGUAAACGGCGGCCGUAACUAUAACGGUCCUAAGGUAGCGAAAUUCCUUGUCGGGUAAGUUCCGACCUGCACGAAUGGCGUAAUGAUGGCCAGGCUGUCUCCACCCGAGACUCAGUGAAAUUGAACUCGCUGUGAAGAUGCAGUGUACCCGCGGCAAGACGGAAAGACCCCGUGAACCUUUACUAUAGCUUGACACUGAACAUUGAGCCUUGAUGUGUAGGAUAGGUGGGAGGCUUUGAAGUGUGGACGCCAGUCUGCAUGGAGCCGACCUUGAAAUACCACCCUUUAAUGUUUGAUGUUCUAACGUUGGCCCGUAAUCCGGGUUGCGGACAGUGUCUGGUGGGUAGUUUGACUGGGGCGGUCUCCUCCUAAAGAGUAACGGAGGAGCACGAAGGUUGGCUAAUCCUGGUCGGACAUCAGGAGGUUAGUGCAAUGGCAUAAGCCAGCUUGACUGCGAGCGUGACGGCGCGAGCAGGUGCGAAAGCAGGUCAUAGUGAUCCGGUGGUUCUGAAUGGAAGGGCCAUCGCUCAACGGAUAAAAGGUACUCCGGGGAUAACAGGCUGAUACCGCCCAAGAGUUCAUAUCGACGGCGGUGUUUGGCACCUCGAUGUCGGCUCAUCACAUCCUGGGGCUGAAGUAGGUCCCAAGGGUAUGGCUGUUCGCCAUUUAAAGUGGUACGCGAGCUGGGUUUAGAACGUCGUGAGACAGUUCGGUCCCUAUCUGCCGUGGGCGCUGGAGAACUGAGGGGGGCUGCUCCUAGUACGAGAGGACCGGAGUGGACGCAUCACUGGU